AAAAGUCAAUGCCGCGUAUCUGUCAAAUGUACGGUUAAAGGGUUAUUUCGCAUUUUUUGCCGAUGCGCACACAUUGGAAUUUCGCUAACUCCUCCUAAGGCUUUCGUUCCACCGGCACCACAUUUGCUCAGGCCAAUCUACACCCCAUGGCCAUUGAAAGUUAUUCAAAUCAUGAUGCUGCACCCCACGGUUUAGGUUCUAGGGGGCGCCAAAUAUAACCCUAAAUCCACAUAUUUAAAAGUCUUAUAACUUUUUAUUUUUGUCCUCACUGGCCUCCAAGUUCUCUAGGAUGAUGCAAUGUCCAGCCAUCAACACAUUUGUGAAGGAAUUUUUACUCCCCAAAAGAGCGCCCCCCCAUGGCAGGAGAAAAAAGUCAAUUUUUUCUUGUCCCGUAAGGUGAAAAUUCACAUUGUUGAGUGUGACACCUGUACGCUUUGUCAUAUUGACACAAAAUUUGACAAUCACGUGUGUCUCAAUAACAUCUACGAAAAAGUCAAUGCACGCGUAUCUGUCAAAUGUACGGUUAAAGGGCUAUUUUGCAUUUUUUGCCGAUUCGCACACAUUGGAAUGUGGCUAACUCCUCCUAAGGCUUUCAUCCCACUGACACCAAAUUUGCUCAGGCCAAUCUACACCCCAUGGCCAUUAAAAGUUGUAAAAAUCAUGACGGUGCACCCCACGGUUUACGUUCUAGGGGGCGCCAAAGAUGACCCAAAUAUCCACAUUCUUAAAAGAAUCCACAUCCCCCCCCCCCCAUCCCCCAUGGCAGGAGAAACAGUCAAGUUUUUCCUGCCCAUCACUCAAUGGCUCAAUCGCAUCGCUCUCCCGGCAACACCGUAACGAGGAGCAACUUGCCGUUUGGAUAUAUCCUAGCUGUGUUUGUGCCCUCACUCAUGGUCCAGACUUUUUUCAAAUAGGAUAUGUAGUUUGUCUGCAGCAAGUGUUUUGGUAGAAACUGCGCCUCCCAUUCAUUAUAAUGGGAAAUGACCACAGACAAGUGCGCACACCAUCUUUGGACCUUGAGUGUGACGCGAUCGGGAGGGGGAGGUGGUCGCGCUGGGGGCGGCGAGACGCGGCUCGGGCCCGAAAGUGCCCCACCGGGGCCCUAGUUAUUAUUUUUCCUCCGCUUUAAACUGGAAAAUGGCCCACUUCCCACUGGCGAAAACUCAGGAAAUUUGGCAGGACGACCGGGCCUGGUGAAAAAUUCGAUAUUCUGAAGUCGCCCAAACAAUAAAAUGCAAAAUGGCUCCAUAGCGCCCCCUAAGGUGAAAAUUCACACUAUUGACUGUCACGCCUGUACGCUUUGUCAUAUUGACACAAAAAUUGACACACACAUGUAUCUCAAUAAGAUCUACAAAAAAGUCAGUGCGGGCGUAUCUGUCAAAUGUAUGGUUAAAGGGUUAUUUCGCAUUUUUUGCAGAUCCGCACACAUUGGAAUUUUGCUAACUCCUCCGAAGGCUUUCGUUCCACCGGCACCACAUUUGCUCAGGCCAAUCUACACCCCAUGGCCAUUCAAAGUUGUACAAAUCAUGAUGCUGCACCCCAUGGUUUAGGUUCUAGGGGGCGCCAAAGAUAACCCAAAAAUCCACAGUCUUAAAAGUCUUAUAACUUUUUAUUUUUGUCCUCACUGGCCUCCAAGUUCUCUAGGAUGAUGCAAUGUCCAGCAAUUAACACAUUUGUGAAGGAAUUUUUACUCGCCAAAAGAGCGCCCCCCCAUGGCAGGAGAAAAAAGUCCAUUUUUUCUUGUCCCCUAAGGUGAAAAUACACAUUGUUUAGUGUCACGCCUGUACGCUUUGGCAAAAUGACACAAAAAUUGACACACACAUGUAUAUCAAUAAGAUCUACGAAAAAGUCAAUGCGCGCAUAUCUGUAAAAUGUACGGUUAAAGGGCUAUUUCACAUUUUUUGCCGAUUCGCACACAUUGGAAUGUGGCUAACUCCUCCUAAGGCUUUCGUUCCACUGACACCAAAUUUGCUCAGGCCAAUCUACACCCCAUGGCCAUUCAAAGUUGUAAAAAUCAUGACGCUGCACCCCACGGUUUACGUUCUAGGGGGCGCCAAAGAGGACCCAAAUAUCCACAUUUUUAAAAGUCUUAUAACUUUAUUUUUGUCCUCACUGGCCUCCAAGUUUUCUAGGAUGAUGCAAUGUUCAGUCAUCAACACAUUUGUGAAGGAAUUUUUUCUCCCCAUAAGAGCGCCCCCCCCAUGGCAGGAGAAAAAGUCAAGUUUUUCCUGCCCAUCGCUCAAUGGCUCAAACGCAUCGCUCUCUCGGCAAAACCGAAAGGAGGAGCAA
rnacentral:lncRNA from 1 species